UACGUAGGUGGCAAGCGUUGUCCGGAUUUACUGGGCGUAAAGAGCGCGCAGGCGGCUCUUCAAGUCGAAUGUGAAAGCCCCCGGCUCAACUGGGGAGGGUCAUUCGAUACUGAUGGGCUGGAAGGCGGGAGAGGGAAGUGGAAUUCCGGGUGUAGUGGUGAAAUGCGUAGAUAUCCGGAGGAACACCAGUGGCGAAGGCGACUUCCUGGCCCGUUCUUGACGCUGAGGCGCGAAAGCUAGGGUAGCAAACGGG
rnacentral:rRNA from 1 species